AUGAACGCAGGCGGCGUGCCUAAUACAUGCAAGUCGAGCGAACAGACGAGGAGCUUGCUCCUCUGACGUUAGCGGCGGACGGGUGAGUAACACGUGGAUAACCUACCUAUAAGACUGGGAUAACUUCGGGAAACCGGAGCUAAUACCGGAUAAUAUAUUGAACCGCAUGGUUCAAUAGUGAAAGACGGUUUUGCUGUCACUUAUAGAUGGAUCCGCGCCGCAUUAGCUAGUUGGUAAGGUAACGGCUUACCAAGGCAACGAUGCGUAGCCGACCUGAGAGGGUGAUCGGCCACACUGGAACUGAGACACGGUCCAGACUCCUACGGGAGGCAGCAGUAGGGAAUCUUCCGCAAUGGGCGAAAGCCUGACGGAGCAACGCCGCGUGAGUGAUGAAGGUCUUCGGAUCGUAAAACUCUGUUAUUAGGGAAGAACAAAUGUGUAAGUAACUAUGCACGUCUUGACGGUACCUAAUCAGAAAGCCACGGCUAACUACGUG
rnacentral:rRNA from 1 species